GCCAUGGUGGUUCAGUGGUAGAAUUUUUGCCUUCCAUGCGGGAGACCUGGGUCCAAUUCCCAGCCAAUGCA
rnacentral:tRNA from 1 species